rnacentral:rRNA from 1 species
AACGAACGCUGGCGGCAGGCUUAACACAUGCAAGUCGAACGCAUCCUUCGGGGUGAGUGGCAGACGGGUGAGUAACGCGUGGGAACGUGCCCUUCAGUUCGGGAUAACCCAGGGAAACUUGGGCUAAUACCGGAUACGUGCGAGAGCAGAAAGAUUUAUCGCUGAAGGAUCGGCCCGCGUCUGAUUAGCUAGUUGGUGGGGUCAUGGCCCACCAAGGGGACGAUCAGUAGCUGGUCUGAGAGGAUGAUCAGCCACAUUGGGACUGAGACACGGCGCAAACUCCUACGGGAGGCAGCAGUGGGGAAUAUUGAACAAUGGGCUCAAGCCUGAUCCAGCCAUGCCGCGUGAGUGAUGAAGGCCUUAGGGUUGUAAAGCUCUUUCGUCCGGUACGAUAAUGACGGUACCGGAAGAAGAAGCCCCGGCUAACUUCGUGCCAGCCGCCGCCGUAA